UUUCCCGGGCUCUUAGCCAAACGCCGGGAAACUUUAGCUUGACGGCUUUUGUCGAUUAAAAUGUCUCUUUUUUUUCUUUUCUUUUCUUUUCACUCCGACCACUCAUAUGCUCGGUUUACUUGUUUUAAUUUCUUUUAUUUCUGUUGUUUUUCCGCCUCCCUCACCUACUGCGCCGACAUAAAAAGAAAAGUAUCUACACUUGACGACCACCGAGGAAAAAUGUUCUCUGAACAUUCCCUAAUUGUUUGAAGUACAAAAACGACAAUAUAUAUAUGAAAAGUUUCUAAAAUAGUCCCAGCGUUAUGGACCUGUAUUCGAGCUCAAUGUGCGGCAUCACGUCCUUCGUUACCAGCCCAGAGACGUCAAGGUACAGUCAAUUUGUUACAAAUGAGCAAAUAUUUAAACCACUAUCGAGUUUUUUAGGUUUGAAAAGUUCUCCUAUCCACUUACAAGUCCUGUAGCUCAAAAAUGGAUUUGCACCAAGACUAUUGAUGCUCUAAUAACCCCAAACACGCUUUUAAGAUUUGAAAAGGUCACAAAUGUGUGCGAGAGUAAAUUACACAAAUAAACCUUUAUUAAAAUCACAAACAUGAAGCAAAAAUACAAUGUAAAAGAACCUGAUCCACAAUCAAAAUAUUUACACCUUUCAAAAAGUCAGAUAACAAUGUUUACCAACCGGCGUGGUUAUAAGGAGCAAAGAACAUGAUGAGCUAACCUGACUUGAACUCUAAGCAGACAUGUUUGAGGCACUGAUCAAAAACAACAUACUUUUAAAUAAAAUAAAAGACAAAAUACCACUAUAUUUGGAAGUCGCCCUUGGAAGGCCGUUUUAAAGUUCUGGGGGUUUUCUUCCGCCAGUCGCCAUUUUGUCCACUCGCUCACGCUCGGAAUCCUUCGCCGUUUAUUGGACCCCGUAUGGCUCCGGUGACAAUUUUGGCUCUCCUCCGGGCAUUACUUGAGCACGCCAGGUAGAAGACCUCCACCACGUUGAGAAGCACCGACACGCAGGACAUGGCCAGCA